AGUGAACGCUGGCGGUAGGCCUAACACAUGCAAGUCGAACGGCAGCACAGUAAGAGCUUGCUCUUACGGGUGGCGAGUGGCGGACGGGUGAGGAAUACAUCGUAAUCUACUUUUUCGUGGGGGAUAACGUAGGGAAACUUACGCUAAUACCGCAUACGACCUACGGGUGAAAGCAGGGGAUCUUCGGACCUUACGCGAUUGAAUGAGCCGAUGUCGGAUUAGCUAGUUGGCGGGGUAAAGGCCCACCAAGGCGACGAUCCGUAGCUGGGCUGAGAGGAUGAUCAGCCACACUGGAACUGAGACACGGUCCAGACUCCUACGGGAGGCAGCAGUGGGGAAUAUUGGACAAUGGGCGCAAGCCUGAUCCAGCCAUACCGCGUGGGUGAAGAAGGCCUUCGGGUUGUAAAGCCCUUUUGUUGGGAAAGAAAAGCAGCAGGUUAAUACCCCGCUGUUCUGACGGUACCCAAAGAAUAAGCACCGGCUAACUUCGU
rnacentral:rRNA from 1 species